ACAUAAUUUAGUUUUAGGCGUUUUACCACAAUAGUACAUAGAACAAAAUAGAUAAUAUGUAUUUAUACGGGUAUCGACUAGUUUAUACAGAGGCCCCCUAGGCCCUAAUGAAGUUUACAAAUAUUACAAACACGCAUUAAGGGCAUUUUUUUUUUAAUUUUUAGAGAUGGGGGCGCCAGAGUAUAAUAUUGGUGGGGGCCUAUCGGAAAAAUGCCGAUUUCCCGAUGAGCCUAUCCGCCCAUACACGUAUGACAUUUCUCGGGGCACAGUAGUGUGCCACGGUACACCGGUUGAGAACCACUUCAAUAUAGUAACAACCUUCAAUCGAAGCUGACGUACUUCAUAGCGGCGUGUCUCUAUCAUAUCUUUGUUCGUGUGUCAUUGUCAUAUAGAUUAUGACUUUGGAUUACUCGAUCGAACUAACGGCUGACACGUGGGCCCAUUUAUUACCUUGUCCUAAUGUCUUGUCUACCACGGGCACUGAUAUAGAUCCAGUGCUACGGUAGUGGCACCAAGCUAAGUAAAAAAAAAAUAAGCGGAACCAUCAUGACCGUAGUACAUUACACGAGCCAGAGUUUGCUCAUUGAAUGUGUAUUGUGUGUAAAUUUACCCAUUUUCUUUAGCCAGGCCUACAGAUCUAAUGAAUGGACUGAUAGGUCCGUUUGUGGUAUUAAUAUAGAUCGGACAUGAUAUGCAGUGUAUACCUUUGUCAUUUUUUAAAUAAUUGAUUCAAUAAUACCGAAUUUAUUACCAAAAAAUUCAAGUAUUUUUCAGAAGAUAUUGUGCUUGACCGCUUUUAGUUAUAACAGUAACGUUUCACGUAGCAGAGCCAGAGACGUCAAUAUACAAUAUAUAUGACAGACAUGUUUAGAAUUAAUUAUACCUAUUACCUACCUAUAACAAAUAUCACAAAUCACAAUGUAACGAAUAAUAAUAUAAAAUAUACAUCUAUUUUAGUACAAUGACGUUGAUAUAAAAGUUCAACAAUAAUAUACAAGUAAUGAGCAGUGUACCUUCUGAACUAUUUCAUAUUUGUUGAGAACAAAACAGUUUUAGUCCUAUCUUCUUCAGAGUUAUAGCAGAACUGUGGAAAAAAAGUACACAGAGUGAUUUGAGAUCACCCACAAAAAAAAUUCUACAGCAACGUUUAAGAGACGAAACAUCAAAAUUAAAUAGUUUAAAAGUCUGAUAGUUACACAAUUUAAAAAAAAAAGUUCCUUCGUUUGAUGAAAUUACUGCUGAACUAGAAUAGAAGUUUAAUGAUAUACCUACAUACCCACAGAAGAAAUAUAUGAGGCUUUUCUAGGUGAUUUAA